UACGGAGGGAGCUAGCGUUGUUCGGAAUUACUGGGCGUAAAGCGCACGUAGGCGGCUAUUCAAGUCGGGGGUGAAAGCCCGGGGCUCAACCCCGGAACUGCCCUCGAAACUAGAUAGCUAGAAUCUUGGAGAGGCGAGUGGAAUUCCGAGUGUAGAGGUGAAGUUCGUAGAUAUUCGGAAGAACACCAGUGGCGAAGGCGACUCGCUGGACAAGUAUUGACGCUGAGGUGCGAAAGCGUGGGGAGCAAACAGG
rnacentral:rRNA from 1 species